GGAAACUGGGUCUAAUACUGGAUAUGACCUCCUGUCGCAUGGUGGGGGGUGGAAAGGGUUUGUACUGGUUGUGGAUGGGCUCACGGCCUAUCAGCUUGUUGGUGGGGUAAUGGCCUACCAAGGCGACGACGGGUAGCCGGCCUGAGAGGGUGACCGGCCACACUGGGACUGAGACACGGCCCAGACUCCUACGGGAGGCAGCAGUGGGGAAUAUUGCACAAUGGGCGCAAGCCUGAUGCAGCGACGCCGCGUGAGGGAUGACGGCCUUCGGGUUGUAAACCUCUUUCAGCACGGAAGAAGCGAAAGUGACGGUACGUGCAGAAGAAGCGCCGGCUAACUACGUGCCAGCAGCCGCGGUAAUACGUAGGGCGCAAGCGUUGUCCGGAAUUAUUGGGCGUAAAGAGCUCGUAGGCGGUUUGUCGCGUCUGCUGUGAAAGCCCGGGGCUUAACCCCGGGUGUGCAGUGGGUACGGGCAGACUUGAGUGCAGUAGGGGAGACUGGAACUCCUGGUGUAGCGGUGAAAUGCGCAGAUAUCAGGAAGAACACCGAUGGCGAAGGCAGGUCUCUGGGCUGUUACUGACGCUGAGGAGCGAAAGCAUGGGGAGCGAACAGGAUUAGAUACCCUGGUAGUCCAUGCCGU
rnacentral:rRNA from 1 species